UACGUAGGGGGCAAGCGUUGUCCGGAAUCAUUGGGCGUAAAGAGCGUGUAGGCGGCCCGGUAAGUCCGCUGUGAAAGUCGGGGGCUCAACCCUCGAAUGCCGGUGGAUACUGUCGGGCUAGAGUGCGGAAGAGGCGAGUGGAAUCCUGGUGUAGCGGUGAAAUGCGCAGAUAUCAGGAGGAACACCAAUUGCGAAGGCAGCUCGCUGGGACGUAACUGACGCUGAGACGCGAAAAGCGUGGGGAGCAAACAGG
rnacentral:rRNA from 1 species